AGCGGCGGACGGGUGAGGAAUGCGUCGGAAUCUGCCUUGUUGUGGGGGAUAACGUAGGGAAACUUACGCUAAUACCGCAUAAGACCGAAAGGUGAAAGUGGGGGACCGCAAGGCCUCACGCGACAAGAUGAGCCGACGCCGGAUUAGCUAGUUGGUGGGGUAAAGGCCCACCAAGGCGACGAUCCGUAGCUGGUCUGAGAGGAUGAUCAGCCACACUGGGACUGAGACACGGCCCAGACUCCUACGGGAGGCAGCAGUGGGGAAUAUUGGACAAUGGGCGCAAGCCUGAUCCAGCCAUGCCGCGUGGGUGAAGAAGGCCUUCGGGUUGUAAAGCCCUUUUGUUGGGAAAGAAAUCCUGUCGGUUAAUACCUGACGGGGAUGACGGUACCCAAAGAAUAAGCACCGGCUAACUUCGUGCCAGCAGCCGCGGUAAUACGAAGGGUGCAAGCGUUACUCGGAAUUACUGGGCGUAAAGCGCGCGUAGGCGGUUCGUUAAGUCUGUCGUGAAAGCCCUGGGCUCAACCUGGGAAUUGCGAUGGAUACUGGCGAGCUAGAGUAUGGUAGAGGGUGGUGGAAUUUCCUGUGUAGCGGUGAAAUGCGU
rnacentral:rRNA from 1 species